rnacentral:rRNA from 1 species
ACGGAAGGCAGCAGUGGGGGAUAUUGCACAAUGGGGGAAACCCUGAUGCAGCGACGCCGCGUGAGUGAAGAAGUAUUUCGGUAUGUAAAGCUCUAUCAGCAGGGAAGAAAAUGACAGUACCUGACUAAGAAGCCCCGGCUAACUACGUGCCGGCAGCCGCGGUAAUACGUAGGGGGCAAGCGUUAUCCGGAUUUACUGGGUGUAAAGGGUGCGUAGGUGGCAAAGUAAGUCAGAGGUGAAAACCCAGGGCUCAACCUUGGGAUUGCCUUUGAAACUAUUUAGCUUGAGUGCUGGAGAGGUAAGCGGAAUUCCUAGUGUAGCGGUGAAAUGCGUAGAUAUUAGGAGGAACACCAGUGGCGAAGGCGGCUUACUGGACUGUAACUGACGUUGAGGCUCGAAAGCGUGGGGAGCAAACAGGAUUAGAUACCCUGGUA